GAUGAAGAACGCAGCGAAAUGCGAUAAGUAAUGUGAAUUGCAGAAUUCCGUGAAUCAUCGAAUCUUUGAACGCACAUUGCGCCCCCUGGCAUUCCGGGGGGCAUGCCUGUCCGAGCGUCAUUUCUGCCCUCCAGCCCGGCUGGGUGUUGGGCGCUGUCCCCCCGGGGACACGCUCCAAAGGCAGUGGCGGCGCCGCGUCGGGUCCUCGAGCGUAUGGGGCUUUGUCACCCGCUCGGGACGGACUCGUCGGCGCUGGUCUUCCUCCAGGCGACCCUUCGGGGCUCGUCUUCCUUCGGUUGACCUCGGAUCAGGUAGGGUUACCCGCUGAACUUAAGCAUAUCAAUAAGCGGAGGA
rnacentral:misc_RNA from 1 species